GGAUGCAUGGUGUAGUGGUUUGAGUGUUGGACUACGACUCUAGUGUUGGACUCGAACUCUAGGGUUCGAAUCUCUGCUCAGCCG